AUUUAUAUAGUUUAAUAAAAACAUUACAUUUUCAUUGUAAAAUUAAAAUAUUCUUUUUUAUAAAUU
rnacentral:tRNA from 1 species